AGAGAGAGACCUCCUACGGGACACCACAAGGUCGAACCACCGCCGCAGCCCUCCGCGGCAUCCGCUUGUCUUCCUCCCUCGACAUAGACGUGUCCCCAUCAUCACCAUGGCGAAGAAGAAAAACGCACGCAGCGCAUCUGUCUCUGCUGCCGCCACGGACGGUGGCGCCGCCCCUGCCGACGGAGGCCUCCGGCCUGUCUUCGCCGCAUCGACGCGCACCGCCACAGCGGAGGAGGUGCUGCAUGCGGCACUGGAACAGCUCGACUCCAUCGCACAGGAGGCGCACGUGUACACGCAGCAGCUAAAGGCGGCCGCACUGAACUGCGCUGCGGCGGAGGUUACGUCACCGCCUUUCAAGCGCGCGCGCGACGACCCGGCGGGCGGCGAGGUGCGGCUGACCGCCUCCACUGCAGCCAAGGGCAGUCGCCUUGACGUCUUCGCUGCCAUGUCCGCCUUGCAAUAUCAAGCCCUCUGUGCAGCGGUGGCGGCCUACGGGCUGCAACUCCUGCCGUCGCUGGAAGAGAUUCUCAAGCGGGUGGCGCUGGCUGUGCUGACGCCGUGGCUGUCCACCCCAGAGGCGUGGGAAACACUGGCGAUGCUGUGCACCACGUACCGCGCCGGUGCUGCCCACGUCUUGGCUGAGCUACUGGAGAGCCUCCUGCGGGAGCCUGGGGUGCUACUGCUGGAUGCGCCACAGCUCGUGCCGGCGUGGUACGCAGAGGCUGUUGUACACGUCCUGCCUUCGGCGAUGGCGUCGAACGCGGCCACCGCAGCCCUGGGCGGCUUGCUGACACUUGCCGAGGACCAGCAGCUGCGAGAAGAGUCGGCCGAGUCUGUCCAGCAGGCGGCGCACAUCCACACUGAAAGGACGGCGCGGAAGCUGCGUGCGCUAGUGGACAUGCUCUACGCAGCCGGCGGGUAUGUGCCGCAGGCUACCUUGCAGCAGAUGGCGCUGCGGCACGCGAUGGAGGUGGUGGAGGGCGGCGUGCUGCCCUGCUACCUCAGCGAGCAGGAGUACAGCGAGGCCUUCAGCACAGCCUCCACGUUUCCGGGGACGGCGGCGGCGGGGGAUUCAACCGGCGCGGCGGUGCUGCGCUGGAAUGUGCCAGCAGCCUGGCACGCAGUUAGUCUUCAGUUGCUCGAAGCCUUUCUCUUCGCGUGCCGUCCCGGACUCCCGGCGCAGCUGCUGGUGACAGCGACGCGCGCCAUCAACGUCCUCGCCGCGCGCCUGCAUCGCGGAGUACCGCUGCUGAGCACAUCGCAGGAUCCGAAUUCGACGGCCGGCCCCAGCCAAGAUAGGAGCAAGAAGGCCACGUUGGUGGCGUUGCCGCUCCUUCCGGUUACGGCCGCGGUCGGGGCUGCGGUGGUGCGCCUCGGUCACGUUCUGCAACUUCUCCGUCAUCCCGUCGUGCUGCCGCCCUUCCAGCCCGCGCAGUUGGUGGUGGAGAAGGCGAAGCGGCGCACAUUUGUGUUGACAGAGCCUGCUGCCGCGCCGGUCACCUCUGCGCCUGCAGCUCCUGCUGCGCCCCCCGCAGAGACGGUGGCUGCACCGAGUACGCGCGUGGCAAUGGCGCCGCCGCCGCAACAGCAGCCUCGGCCUGUCGCGCCGACCGUUGCAGCGCCCGCCGCAGUACCCGCACCAGCCGCAGAUUUGCCUCGCACGCCAGCGCCGCAGCCUGUGAAACCGGCGCCACCCCCGCAACCGCCCGCCGUUGUGGACAGCGCCGACGACGACAUCCCCGACAUCGUGAUGGACGACUAAGUCGGGGCGGGCCUGUCGCUGACCAGAGAAGCCGGCAGGCAGAGAGCCGCCCGUGUGUGUGUGUGUGUGUGUGUGUGUGUGUGUGUGUCGAUGCAGCCGGGGGUAAGUCAGGGGGGAAGGUUUGCCAGACGCUCUAAUUUCGACAUGUAAGCUCGGCCACGCGUCGUGAAAGGCUUUGUGUGGCACGCCGCCACUAACGCGAACGAGUAAGGCUACAUCCCUCACGUUCACACGCCCCCCUCCCCUCCCUCACCACCGGCCCCUAUGUGUAUGUCUGGAGAAGGGCAAAGGAACGCACGGCGCAGAACAGCUGGGGCACAGAAUCUGGGAUGAUAUGUAAGGAUGUUGCAUGCCUUGUGGGAGGGCAGAAAGGGCCUCCCACACACCCCACACCCGAGCCGCGUGUGCCUGUGCCUUGCCAGCUCAGAAGAUGGCCACUGGUGCGUUCAUUUUCUCAGCACUAGAUACAUUCUGGCAUGCAGUCUCGCCACUCUUUUCGAUUCUCGUGGCUCCCCGUCAUAUCCUCGUUGGCGUGUGCAUACCCGCACCGCGCGCAG
rnacentral:misc_RNA from 1 species